rnacentral:misc_RNA from 1 species
AAGUCGUAACAAGGUUUCCGUAGGUGAACCUGCGGAAGGAUCAUUAUAGAAAUGAUUUGAUAGUGCUGGGGUGUUUCGGUCUGCCUGCGCUUAGUUGCGCGGCGGUAUUGAACAUCUGUUAACAGUCUAUCUAACCAACACACGUGUAGUUUCUACUAUAUGCUAUUCUUCCUGGGCUCUAACUGCCCAGGGAUAAACACAAACAAAAAUUUUGAAAACUAGUCAAUUCUAUUUCAUAAGAAAUAAAAUAUUCAAAACUUUCAACAAUGGAUCUCUUGGUUCUC